rnacentral:rRNA from 1 species
GAUGAACGCUGGCGGCGUGCCUAACACAUGCAAGUCGAACGGAGAUUACGGACGGAAGUUUUCUGAUGGAAGACUGUAAUUCUUAGUGGCGGACGGGUGAGUAACGCGUGGGCAACCUGCCCUAUACAGGGGGAUAGCAGCUGGAAACGGCUGGUAAGACCGCAUAAGUCGGCGAGACCGCGUGGUUUUGCCGGGAAAUGAGCAAUCAGGUAUAGGAUGGGCCCGCGUCCGAUUAGCCAGUUGGCAGGGUAAAAGCCUACCAAAGCAACGAUCGGUAGCCGGACUGAGAGGUCGGACGGCCACAUUGGGACUGAGACACGGCCCAAACUCCUACGGGAGGCAGCAGUGGGGGAUAUUGCACAAUGGAGGAAACUCUGAUGCAGCGACGCCGCGUGAGUGAAGAAGUAUUUCGGUAUGUAAAGCUCUAUCAGCAGGGAAGAUGAUGACGGUACCUGACUAAGAAGCCCCGGCUAACUACGUG